rnacentral:rRNA from 1 species
CAAGGAGGCAGCCGGCCACGGUAGGGUCAGCGACUGGGGUGAAGUCGUAACAAGGUAGCCGUAGGGGAACC